CCAGAGAGGAAAGAAAUGGUUCAGAGAGGAAGGUGGAUUGGUGUCAGGCUAGAAAGGGCAUGAGCUCUGUUGCCAGAAAGAUGGAACCUGCCCACAUUGAAUAGCUAUCCAAAGUAGGACAGUGACAUCUCUGUGACAGACACUUGCCUUUCUCUCUGGGGACUGUUUAGCAGAAUUUCUUUAAGGGGUUUAUUUGUUUCCUCUUUAAAGACUUCUACUUCC